UACGUAGGGUGCGAGCGUUAAUCGGAAUUACUGGGCGUAAAGCGUGCGCAGGCGGCUUUGCAAGACAGAUGUGAAAUCCCCGGGCUCAACCUGGGAACUGCAUUUGUGACUGCAAGGCUAGAGUAUGGAAGAGGUGAGUGGAAUUCCGAGUGUAGCAGUGAAAUGCGUAGAUAUGCGGAGGAACACCAAUGGCGAAGGCAAUCCCCUGGGCCUGUACUGACGCUCAUGCACGAAAGCGUGGGGAGCAAACAGG
rnacentral:rRNA from 1 species